CCCUUAGACGUUCUGGGCCGCACGCGCGCUACACUGACGAAGGCAACGAGCUUUCCUUUACCGAAAGGUACGGGUAAUCUUUUGAAACUUCGUCGUGCUGGGGAUAGAUCCUUGCAAUUUUUGAUCUUAAACGAGGAAUGCCUAGUAAGCGCAAGUCAUCAACUUGCGUUGAUUACGUCCCUGCCCUUUGUACACACCGCCCGUCGCUACUACCGAUUGAAUGGUUUAGUGAGGCCUUCAGAUCCGCGACUCGUUUGUGGAGAAGUUGGACAAACUCAGUCAUUUAGAGGAAGUAAAAGUCGUAACA
rnacentral:rRNA from 1 species